rnacentral:rRNA from 1 species
AUUGAACGCUGGCGGCAGGCCUAACACAUGCAAGUCGAGCGGAUGAAGGGAGCUUGCUCUCUGAUUUAGCGGCGGACGGGUGAGUAAUGCCUAGGAAUCUGCCUGGUAGUGGGGGAUAACGUUCCGAAAGGAACGCUAAUACCGCAUACGUCCUACGGGAGAAAGCAGGGGACCUUCGGGCCUUGCGCUAUCAGAUGAGCCUAGGUCGGAUUAGCUAGUUGGUGAGGUAAUGGCUCACCAAGGCGACGAUCCGUAACUGGUCUGAGAGGAUGAUCAGUCACACUGGAACUGAGACACGGUCCAGACUCCUACGGGAGGCAGCAGUGGGGAAUAUUGGACAAUGGGCGAAAGCCUGAUCCAGCCAUGCCGCGUGUGUGAAGAAGGUCUUCGGAUUGUAAAGCACUUUAAGUUGGGAGGAAGGGCAUUAACCUAAUACGUUAGUGUUUUGACGUUACCAACAGAAUAAGCACCGGCUAACUUCGUGCCAGCCGCCGCGGUAAUAC